CAGACCGCCAGCUAAGGUCCCAAAUUACUACUAAGUGGGAAACGAUGUGGGAAGGCUCAGACAGCCAGGAUGUUGGCUUAGAAGCAGCCAUCAUUUAAAGAAAGCGUAAUAGCUCACUGGUCGAGUCGGCCUGCGCGGAAGAUGUAACGGGGCUAAGUAGUAAACCGAAGCUGCGGCAAUGUGCUUUUGCACAUUGGGUAGGGGAGCGUUCUGUAAGCGGUUGAAGGUGUGUGGUAACGCAUGCUGGACGUAUCAGAAGUGCGAAUGCUGACAUGAGUAACGAUAAAGGGGGUGAAAAACCUCCUCGCCGGAAGACCAAGGGUUCCUGUCCAACGUUAAUCGGGGCAGGGUAAGUCGACCCCUAAGGCGAGGCCGAAAGGCGUAGUCGAUGGGAAACGGGUUAAUAUUCCCGUACUUCUUACAAUUGCGAUGGGGGGACGGAGAAGGCUAGGUGGGCCUGGCGACGGUUGUCCAGGUUCAAGUGCGUAGGCUUAAGAGUUAGGUAAAUCCGGCUCUUUCUAAGGCUGAGACACGACGUCGAGCUGCUACGGCAGUGAAGUCAUUGAUGCCAUGCUUCCAGGAAAAGCCUCUAAGCUUCAGAUUGUAAGGAAUCGUACCCCAAACCGACACAGGUGGUCGGGUAGAGAAUACCAAGGCGCUUGAGAGAACUCGGGUGAAGGAACUAGGCAAAAUGGUACCGUAACUUCGGGAGAAGGUACGCUCUCGACGGUGAAGUCCCUCGCGGAUGGAGCUAUUGAGAGUCGCAGAUACCAGGUGGCUGCAACUGUUUAUUAAAAACACAGCACUGUGCAAAAUCGUAAGAUGACGUAUACGGUGUGACGCCUGCCCGGUGCCGGAAGGUUAAUUGAUGGGGUUAGACUUCGGUCGAAGCUCUUGAUCGAAGCCCCGGUAAACGGCGGCCGUAACUAUAACGGUCCUAAGGUAGCGAAAUUCCUUGUCGGGUAAGUUCCGACCUGCACGAAUGGCGUAAUGAUGGCCACGCUGUCUCCACCCGAGACUCAGUGAAAUUGAAAUCGCUGUGAAGAUGCAGUGUACCCGCGGCUAGACGGAAAGACCCCGUGAACCUUUACUACAGCUUGGCACUGAACAUUGACCCUACAUGUGUAGGAUAGGUGGGAGGCUUUGAAGCACGUACGCCAGUAUGUGUGGAGCCGUCCUUGAAAUACCACCCUUGUAGUGUUGAUGUUCUAACGUCGACCCCUAAUCGGGGUUGCGGACAGUGCCUGGUGGGUAGUUUGACUGGGGCGGUCUCCUCCCAAAGAGUAACGGAGGAGCACGAAGGUGGGCUAAUCACGGUUGGACAUCGUGAGGUUAGUGCAAUGGCAUAAGCCCGCUUGACUGCGAGAAUGACAAUUCGAGCAGGUGCGAAAGCAGGUCAUAGUGAUCCGGUGGUUCUGAAUGGAAGGGCCAUCGCUCAACGGAUAAAAGGUACUCCGGGGAUAACAGGCUGAUACCGCCCAAGAGUUCAUAUCGACGGCGGUGUUUGGCACCUCGAUGUCGGCUCAUCACAUCCUGGGGCUGAAGUCGGUCCCAAGGGUAUGGCUGUUCGCCAUUUAAAGUGGUACGCGAGCUGGGUUUAGAACGUCGUGAGACAGUUCGGUCCCUAUCUGCCGUGGGCGUUGGAAGAUUGAAGGGGGCUGCUCCUAGUACGAGAGGACCGGAGUGGACGAACCUCUGGUGUUCGGGUUGUGUCGCCAGACGCAUUGCCCGGUAGCUAAGUUCGGAAUCGAUAACCGCUGAAAGCAUCUAAGCGGGAAGCGAGCCCUGAGAUGAGUCUUCCCUGAUACUUUAAGUAUCCUAAAGGGUUGUCGGAGACUACGACGUUGAUAGGUCAGGUGUGUAAGUGCUGUGAGGCAUUGAGCUAACUGAUACUAAUUGCCCGUGAGGCUUAACCAUACAACACCCAAGGGGUUU
rnacentral:rRNA from 1 species